rnacentral:rRNA from 1 species
GACGAACGCUGGCGGCGUGCUUAACACAUGCAAGUCGAACGGAAAGGCCCUGCUUUUGUGGGGCGCUUGAGUGGCGAACGGGUGAGUAACACGUGAGUAACCUGCCCUUUACUUUGGGAUAACUUCUGGAAACUAGGGCUAAUACCGGAUAAGAGCUUCUGCUGCAUGGUGGGGGUUGGAAAGUUUCGGCGGUUGGGGAUGGACGCGCGGCUUAUGAGCUUGGUGGUGGGGUAGUGGCUUACCAAGGCUUUGACGGGUAGCCGGCCUGAGAGGGUGACCGGGCACAGUGGGACUGGGGGAGGGCCCAGAGUGCUACGGGAGGCAGCAGUGGAGAAUAGUGCGCAAUGGGCGGAAGCGUGAUACAACGACGCCGGGUGCGGGAUGACGGCUUUCGGGGUAUAAACCGUUUUCGCCUGUAACGAAGAGUGAGUGACGGUAACUUAUAAGAAAGCAACGGCUAACUACGUG